rnacentral:lncRNA from 1 species
CGAGAGGGGCUUUGCAAACCCUAACAGUGACGGAGAACUGAUCGGACGGGAGUAACCCCAGCAUAGUAGAAAUCGUCUGCUUCAUGGAGUCCUUGGCGGAAUCCGAAACGCCCUUGGAGAUAACGGAGGUGUCGAGGGGUUCAAUCCGCUUCAGCAUGUUGGCGAUUACGGAGAAGCCGCGGUCGAACCCGGACUUCCGAGUCGAAACGAACUCGUCCGAGACGCCGCCGCCGUCUACGCCAGAUAUGAGGCAUCUGACGGCGGGAGAUGAGCUGGUGGCUAAACGACGCCGUCGGAAGGAGGGGAGCAGAGGGCGGACGAG